rnacentral:rRNA from 1 species
AGGACGAACGCUGGCGGCGUGCUUAACACAUGCAAGUCGAGCGGUAAGGCCCUUUCGGGGGUACACGAGCGGCGAACGGGUGAGUAACACGUGAGCAAUCUGCCCUUCACUUCGGGAUAAGCCUCGGAAACGGGGUCUAAUACCGGAUAUGACCGCGCUACGCAUGUGGUGUGGUGGAAAGUUCUGGCGGUGGAGGAUGAGCUCGCGGCCUAUCAGCUUGUUGGUGGGGUAAUGGCCUACCAAGGCUUCGACGGGUAGCCGGCCUGAGAGGGUGACCGGCCACACUGGGACUGAGACACGGCCCAGACUCCUACGGGAGCAGCAGUGGGGAAUAUUGGACAAUGGGCGAAAGCCUGAUCCAGCAACGCCGCGUGAGGGAUGACGGCCUUCGGGUUGUAAACCUCUUUCAGCGCCGACGAAGCGAGAGUGACGGUAGGCGCAGAAGAAGCACCGGCAACUACGUGCCAGCAGCCGC